UUUAUUCCAGAUCAGCCAAAGAUAACCCACAUCACUGAUGAUAAGGGAGGACCGAAGUCAAUGAAGGAGGGGCCCCUGAAGUUACCCAUGAGCCCUUGUCCCCCAUCACAUUUUUCCCUUGUGGAGAGCCAGCCUUUGUACAGUGUCCAGGCUGCUAGAAAGAGAAAGCACUGCAUUCCUGAUGGAUUCAAGUGUAGACAGUGCUGGAGUCAGACACCAGUACGUCAGACUACCAGCAACACAUCCAGGAGAAGGGGCUCACCCUUCGUCAGUCUACUCCUCAGGGGCAGGCCUGCUCUCCCUCCAGCAGAGAGCACAGGUCCAGCCAUAUCUCCACCUCAGAGCAA